AGAGUUUGAUCCUGGCUCAGGAUGAACGCUAGCGGCAGGCUUAAUACAUGCAAGUCGUGGGGCAGCAUGACUGUAGCAAUACAGUUGAUGGCGACCGGCAAACGGGUGCGGAACACGUACACAACCUUCCUUUAAGUGGGGAAUAGCCCGGGGAAACCCGGAUUAAUACCCCGUAAUAUAAUGAAGUGGCAUCACUUUAUUAUUAUAGCUCCGGCGCUUGAAGAUGGGUGUGCGACUGAUUAGGCAGUUGGCGGGGUAACGGCCCACCAAACCUACGAUCAGUAACUGGUGUGAGAGCACGACCAGUCACACGGGCACUGAGACACGGGCCCGACUCCUACGGGAGGCAGCAGUAAGGAAUAUUGGUCAAUGGACGCAAGUCUGAACCAGCCAUGCCGCGUGGAGGAUGAAGGUCCUCUGGAUUGUAAACUUCUUUUAUCUGGGAAGAAAUGCAUUUUUUCUAAAAUGCUUGACGGUACCAGGUGAAUAAGCACCGGCUAACUCCGUGCCAGCAGCCGCGGUAAUACGGAGGGUGCAAGCGUUAUCCGGAUUCACUGGGUUUAAAGGGUGCGUAGGUGGGUUGGUAAGUCAGUGGUGAAAUCUCCAGGCUUAACUUGGAAACUGCCAUUGAUACUAUCAAUCUUGAAUACCGUGGAGGUCAGCGGAAUAUGUCAUGUAGCGGUGAAAUGCUUAGAUAUGACAUAGAACACCAAUUGCGAAGGCAGCUGGCUACACGAAUAUUGACACUGAUGCACGAAAGCGUGGGGAUCAAACAGGAUUAGAUACCCCCGUAGUCC
rnacentral:rRNA from 1 species